rnacentral:rRNA from 1 species
GAUGAACGCUGGCGGCGUGCCUAACACAUGCAAGUCGAACGGAAGGACGCUAAGCUCGCUUUACUGAUGUUGGCGACGGGCGGGUGAGUAACACGUGGAUAACCUUCCAAUUAGACUUGGGUAACUUCGGGUGGCCGGAGCUCCUACUAGAUAAUAUUUUUAACGGCAUGGUUCAAAAGUUUUUGACGGUUUUGCUGACCCUUAUAGCUGGAUCCGUGCUGCAUUAGUGAGUUGGUAAGGUAACGGCUUACCAAGGCCACGAUGGAUAGCCGAACGGAGAGGGUGAUCGGCCACACUGGAACUGAGACACGGUCCAGACUCCUACGGGAGGCAGCAGUGGGGAAGCUUCGGCAAUGGGCGGAAGCCUGACCAAGCGACGCCGCGUGAGUGAAGAAGGUCUGCGGGUCGUAAAACGCUGUUAUUGGGGAAGAACAUAUGCGUAAGGAACUGUGCAUAUUGUGACGGUACCUAAACAGAAAGCCCCGGCUAACUACGUG